ACAACUGUAAUUACUUGGGUAAAAAAUUCGACCACUAGGUGGUGGAAGUUUAUUCCGCUCUGACUGGGAAAAGCCUUCAUUCAAACUGAGAGAAGAAACAAGAGAAUGGCGGGUCAGCAGAGUGAUCGUGUUCGUGGUCUACCGUCCGAAGUGGAUGUGGUUAUUCCGUCAGUUUGUCGAAGAAGCGUCUUCAGACAAACUGCGCGAGCUCCUGAGGUUUUGGGUUGGCUGGGAGGUCCCUUGCCAAGAGCUGAAGCUUGAAGUUGUCCUGUCAACUGGACCUAACCAUAUGCCGACGUCUUCAACCUGUAGUGAGCAAUUACGGCUACCAAGUCACUACACCACCUACCAGGCCCUGUCAGCCGACAUGAAUGUGUGUCUGAAAUCAGUAGAGACAGGCUUUGGUCUUAUUUGAUAAAUAUGUAUUGAUGUUUCAUUUGUUGAAAAAUUGCAGUUUGACAUGGCAAGUCAGUUAAAAUAGAAAGUAAUUUUAUUAUUAGCCUUGCAUUUUUUUUUUUGUUUGUUUUUUACAAAUAAUGUCCAUCAACACAGUCUUGACAUGAAGUUGUGUUCCUGAGGUGACUACUAAAUGUUUGUCAGGCAUCCCUGUUCAUCAUGUGGUUUUUUGCUGAAAUAUUCCACAAAUGUUUGGCAUUCAAACAUAAAAUAAUUUUCAUGUUUCUGGUGUACAUUAAACUUUAUAAAGUUAA